UUCCUGGGGGUGGGGGGAGGCCAAGUUUUUUGUGGGGGUUCCUUUGUGUAUAUGUACCAUCUUACUACUCAGGCUGAAGUUGGAACAUCACAUAGCUACUGACCGUAAGUUUGCCUACUUUGCAAUGCCUUCUGGAUUUUUGAUUGAAGAAAUUGAACUUUGAAUCUAUACACAUUCAUGCAUCAUUUAGUUAGCUUGCAGAACUCAGUUCAAUUAAAAUUCUGAGCUGAGAGGAAGAGAGAUCUGUGAGGACCCCUUUCCUGAAGAAAUACUACAGGUUUAUAUGCUAUUUUGUGGAUGGGGUUAGGACUAUUGGUAAGAUGAGCAAUUUAAAUGAAUUACUCCUUGCUUUCAGAAUUGCAUCUUAUUAAAUUUGGACUUCGUUCUUUAAAUACUUGACACACUAAAGAAUUCUUUUGAUCC